rnacentral:rRNA from 1 species
CCUACGUGAGGCAGCAGUAGGGAAUCUUCCACAAUGGGCGAAAGCCUGAUGGAGCAACGCCGCGUGGGUGAAGAAGGUCUUCGGAUCGUAAAACCCUGUUGUUAGAGAAGAAAGUGCGUGAGAGUAACUGUUCACGUUUCGACGGUAUCUAACCAGAAUGCCACGGCUAACUACGUGCCAGCAGCCGCGGUAAUACGUAGGUGGCAAGCGUUAUCCGGAUUUAUUGGGGGUAAAGGGAACGCAGGCGGUCUUUUAAGUCUGGUGUGAAAGCGUUCGGCUUAACCGGCGUAGUGCAGUGGAAACUGGGAGACUGGAGUGGAAAAGAGGAAAGCGGAAUGCGAGGUGUAGCGGUGAAAUGCGUAGAUAUAUGGAAGAACACCAGUGGCGAAAGCGGCUCUCUGGUCUGUAACUGACGCUGAGGUUCGAAAGCGUGGGUAGCGAACAGGAUUAGAUACCCUGGUAGUC